AAUUCAGUGGGGAUCAUCUGAGAUUCCACACUCUGAGGACGCAAUCCAGGUGACUCAACACGCUGCUAACUAUCUAGUCAGUGAAGCUAGAAAGUCACUCAACAGACCAUCUUCUGAGAAAGUGCUAAGCAAUCUCAUCUACAACUACAAGACUACCUACUCUGGAUACAAAGGGAGCGGUAACGACGAGGCUUACAUUUUCACCUAGUUUUCCAAGAUCAAAA